CCGGCCGCGGGCGGGGUGGACCGAGCGGAGGUCCGCGCGGGUGCGAGGGAGGGUCCGGACCUCCCGAGCGAGGGGCGGGGCAAAGGUGGAUGAGCUCUAGGCACUGGUCGGCUGCCUCUGAACUGGCCCGGAGCCUGCGGGCACUCGCCCGCGUCUCCACUCACGUGACGUUGGACUCAGGGACCUUACCCCCUGGAGGCUUGGAGAAAUAAAAAUAGAAAGAAGGCUGGUGCACGGGAAACUUGUGUGUGGAUCAGGACAGUGCUGCCCACCUGCUGUAUGAGCAGGGCUGCUAAUCUCUCCACUGCUCUUCUCUAUCUUUGGUAAUGCGGUCACUCCUCCCUGUUGUAUCUACUACAGGACAUCCGCAAUCUGGAAAGAAACCAAGUGAGAAAUAAAAACCAGUUGGAAAAUGGCCUUCCACGCUAGAAGGAGAAAACCUCCUGAUGGAAAGGAUGGAGAUAAGAUGCUUGAGGGCUCUUCCUCCCCCUCCUCCCCCCCUGGGGGGACUAGAAAGAGCUGGGAGGGAAUUGUUUCAUAUAAAGAGAGCUGACGUCUAAUAGAUUGCACAAACAAGUCUUUGACCCAGCUGAACUUUUUAAUCAUUUACAGAUAUUCCAUUAACUCCACGCAACUAACAUUCUCUCCCUUCCCCAGUCCUAACACUGCCCAAGGGUGGACAUGUAGGUCACACGUGUGAAUACCCUUUGGCCAGAGAUGUAUGUUGGGUCGUUAUGGACUGCAUGAGCCUGGUACAGCUGAAAGUCAAGACAAGAAAAGACAGGACUGCCAUACCCAUCGCUCUUUUGCUAGCAUAUCUUUCAGCACAUGGGGCGCCUGGGUGGCUCAGUCGUUAAGUGUCUGCCUUCGACUCAGGUCAUGAUCCCAGGGUCCAUUGGACUCCCUGCUCAGCGGGAAGCCUGCUUCUCCCUCUCCCACUCCCCCUGCUUGUCUUCCCUCUCUCGCUGUGAUUCUC